AAUUCCCUGCUAUGUGCGUGAUAAGUGGUAAGUUUUGAGCCAACACAAAUAAUUAGGGAGCCUAACUUCACCUUGCCCGCGGGCAAGGUGAGAGGGCACCCACUUAGUAGAAGGGGUUCAAAAAUACCACUUAAAUACGGCAGAAGCGGGGAAUUA
rnacentral:other from 1 species